rnacentral:rRNA from 1 species
CCUACGGGAGGCAGCAGUGGGGAAUAUUGCACAAUGGGGGGAACCCUGAUGCAGCGACGCCGCGUGGGUGAGGAAGUACUUCGGUAUGUAAAGCCCUAUCAGCAGGGAAGAAAAUGACGGUACCUGACUAAGAAGCCCCGGCUAACUACGUGCCAGCAGCCGCGGUAAUACGUAGGGGGCAAGCGUUAUCCGGAUUUACUGGGUGUAAAGGGAGCGUAGACGGCGUGGCAAGUCUGGUGUGAAAGGCCGGGGCUCAACCCCGGGACUGCAUUGGAAACUGGCAUGCUGGAGUGCAGGAGGGGCAAGCGGAAUUCCUAGUGUAGCGGUGAAAUGCGUAGAUAUUAGGAGGAACACCAGUGGCGAAGGCGGCUUGCUGGACGGUAACUGACGUUGAGGCUCGAAAGCGUGGGGAGCAAACAGGAUUAGAUACCCUUGUAGUC